GGGUGGGGUUAAGAAGACGGCCAUACUUUAGGAAUCAAGCGCUCAUCAUCUCCAUGUCGUUCCACUGGGACAAAUGGAGGAUGCAUCAACAUCAGGAGCCGUCGACAGAUGCUGCUGUCAAGCACAGAGUACGGACUGCAUCUGUUAAAAUGCAAACACCUCCACACCGAACCCACAGCAGCAGCCGCCUCCCCGGCACGGCUGCCUGGACUUCAAAGGAGAAAGAUUGGCGUGAUACCAGAGUCGUACUACAGUGCUCUACACAAACUUUAACUUCAGCGCUGCGUUGUUAUUUCACUUCACAUUUUCCACCAUUGUCUCAUGCAGAGCUGCUUAUUAAUGGAAACUGUUUAUGUUGGUAGAUGCAUAGUGGUGUAGCAGCCGUGUAGUUUAUUCAUAGCAGUGACUCUGAGCUUUUGCUUUCUGCUGUUUCCAGUCAAGCAGGACAACAGGGAGACUUUUUGUCUCUGCUGGGAUCAAUCGCUCCAUAGAUGACGCCCACCCAGCCAGGCCUCUCUGUGGGCGGCUGGGAGCCCAGCAGCCCAGCAGCCCUGCAGGCCGGCCCCAGUCCAGCCCCGCCCCGGCUCAGGGCCUCCUCCGGCCCCCGCAGCAAGCAGGGCAGGAAGGACCGGAGAGCUGAACUUUACAUAUGAAAGCUUUCAGCUGACAUCUCUAAAGUCACCAAAGGAGAGAGCAGAGCUUCAUUAUUGUGAACUACUUCCUGAUCACUCACGGCCAAUGGGAUCGCAGUGUCAGAAAGGAAGCUGAUUGGAUUGUCGAGAGGACGGUAAUCCCACAAAUCAGCACACAGGACCGAAUCACAGAGAGAAUCCCUUUAGGCUGACACAAAAAGAGCAAAACGUGACUGAAGGCCGUGCAGCGAAGGACCGCCGGUUUGGAUGGUUACCUGCAGCUGAUGAUCUUUUUCAGGGCGACUCGA